GUGAGGAAUAUUGGUCAAUGGGCGGGAGCCUGAACCAGCCAAGUCGCGUGAAGGAAGAAGGAUCUAUGGUUCGUAAACUUCUUUUGCAGGGGAAUAAAGUGCAGGACGUGUCCUGUUUUGUAUGUACCCUGAGAAUAAGGAUCGGCUAACUCCGUGCCAGCAGCCGCGGUAAUACGGAGGAUCCGAGCGUUAUCCGGAUUUAUUGGGUUUAAAGGGUGCGUAGGUGGUUUGAUAAGUCAGCGGUGAAAGUUUGCAGCUUAACUGUAAAAAUGCAGUUGAAACUGUCGGACUUGAGUGUAAAUGAGGUAGGCGGAAUGCGUGGUGUAGCGGUGAAAUGCAUAGAUAUCACGCAGAACUCCGAUUGCGAAGGCAGCUUACUAAGCUACAACUGACACUGAAGCACGAAAGCGUGGGGAUCAAACAGGAUUAGAUACCCGUGUAGUCC
rnacentral:rRNA from 1 species